rnacentral:rRNA from 1 species
GGGGAAUUUUUCGCAAUGGGCGAAAGCCUGACGAAGCAACGCCGCGUGGAGGAUGAAGGCCCUCGUGGUCGUAAACUCUUGUCUAGCGGGACGAAAGGGUUGGGGGUGAAUAAUCCCAGACAUUGACUGUACUGCUGGAGGAAGCUCCGGCCAACUCUGUGCCAGCAGCCGCGGUAAUACAGAGGGGGCUAGCGUUGUUCGGAAUUACUGGGCGUAAAGCGCACGUAGGCGGCUUUGUAAGUUAGAGGUGAAAGCCCGGAGCUCAACUCCGGAAUUGCCUUUAAGACUGCAUCGCUAGAAUUGUGGAGAGGUGAGUGGAAUUCCGAGUGUAGAGGUGAAAUUCGUAGAUAUUCGGAAGAACACCAGUGGCGAAGGCGACUCACUGGACACAUAUUGACGCUGAGGUGCGAAAGCGUGGGGAGCAAA